CCCCAGUGAUACCGCUAUUACUGGUGUUGUCACACUUCGAUUAACCGGUGGGAAGAUUUCCUCACCGUCACAACUCUACUUUCAGCUCAUG